rnacentral:rRNA from 1 species
GAUGAACGCUGGCGGCGUGCCUAAUACAUGCAAGUCGAACGAACGGACGAGGAGCUUGCUUCUCUGAUGUUAGCCGCACACGGGUGAGUAACACGUGUAUAACCUACCUAUCAGACUGGGAUAACUUCGGAAAACCGUAGCUAAUCCCGGAUAAUAUUUUGAACCGCAUGGUUCAAAAGUAAAAGACGGUCUUGCUGUCACUUAUAGAUGGAUACGCGCUGCAUUAGCUAGUUGGUAAGGUAACGGCUUACCAAGGCAACGAUGCAUAGCCGACCUGAGAGAGUGAUAGGCCACAUUGGAGCUGAGCCACGGUCCAGACUCCUACGGGAGGCAGCAGUCGCGAAUCGUCCGCAAUGGUGGAAAGCAUGACGCAGCAACGCCGCGUGAGUUAUGACGGUCUUCGGAUCGGAAAACUCUGUUAUUAGUGAUGAACAUAUUUGUAAGUUACUGUGCACAUCUUGACGGUACCGAAUCAGAAAGCACCGGCUAACUACGUG